UAAUACGGAGGAUGCGAGCGUUAUCCGGAUUCAUUGGGUUUAAAGGGUGCGUAGGCGGACUAUUAAGUCAGUGGUGAAAUCCUCCCGCUUAACGGGAGAACUGCCAUUGAUACUGAUAGCCUUGAGUUUGGUUAAGGUAGGCGGAAUGUGUAAUGUAGCGGUGAAAUGCUUAGAUAUUACACAGAACACCGAUUGCGAAGGCAGCUUACUGGACCGACACUGACGCUGAGGCACGAAAGCGUGGGGAUCGAACAGG
rnacentral:rRNA from 1 species